UUGCGGAUGCUGACGAGUGGCGAACGGGUGCGUAACGCGUAUGCAACCUGCCCUUUACUUGGAGAAUAGCCCAUGAGAAAUUUUGGAUUAAUACUCCAGUAGUACUACAAAUUCCGCAUGUUUAUAGUAGUUAAAGUUCCAACGGUAAAGGAUGGGCAUGCGUGACAUUAGUUUGUUGGUGAGGUAACGGCUCACCAAGACUACGAUGUCUAGGGGUUCUGAGAGGAUGAACCCCCACAAAUGGUACUUGAGACACGGACCAGACUUCCUAAACGGAGGCAGCAGUGAAGAAUCUUGCGCAAUGGAGGAAAACUCUUGACGCAGCCACCCCGCGUGCCGAAAAAGGACCUAUGGGUUGGGAACCGCUUUUUGUACGGGAAGAAA
rnacentral:rRNA from 1 species